rnacentral:misc_RNA from 1 species
UUUAUACUUUAAACUUUGAUUUUAUUUUUAUGUUUUUUAAAUAUUGGUGUUUUUGAAUGUGUUGUUUAAAUAACAUAAAAAAUAAAAUAUAUAUAUUGACAUGCAUUAAACAAAGAUAUAUAUU